CUUUCUCCGCCGGCGACCGGCGCACGGGUGAGUAACACGUAUGCAACCUGCCCCCGUCAGGGGGACAACCCGCCGAAAGGCGGGCUAAACCCGCGUACAUGCCACCGGGGCAUCCCGGAGGCAGGAAAGGCUUCGGCCGGACAGGGAUGGGCAUGCGGCGCAUUAGGCAGUAGGCGGGGUAACGGCCCACCGAGGCGACGAUGCGUAGGGGUUCUGAGAGGAAGGCCCCCCACACUGGUACUGAGACACGGACCAGACUCCUACGGGAGGCAGCAG
rnacentral:rRNA from 1 species